UAGGAAAGUCAUAAAUAUAUAAAUUAUAUUAUAUAAUUAAUAUACUCCUUUCGGGGUUCCGGUCUCCGUACCGGACCCCGAAACUAAUAAAAUAAAUUAUAUAUUUUAUUUAUAAUAUUAUUUCUUUAUAAGAUAAAUAUUAUCUGAUGAAUAAUUAGAUUGAAUAAUAUUUAUAAAGAAAUAUAUAUAAAAAGUUAUUAUAUAAAUUUAAUUAUAAUUUAAAUAAAUUUUAUAUAAAUUAAUAUAAUAUUAAUAAAGUAAUUAGUAUAAAUAAAUAAUAUGAAAAUAAAACUUAAUAAAUAUAUAAAUAUAAUCCAUAUAUAUAUAUUAAUAAAAAAAAGUAAUAUAUAUAUAUAUUGGAAUAGUUAUAUUAUUAUACAGAAAUAUGCUUAA
rnacentral:misc_RNA from 1 species